rnacentral:lncRNA from 1 species
CAUGGAGAAAGAACUCCCUGGAAACUACCUACAGGCUGCAGACCUUUGGGGAAAAAUAUGGCCUUUCAGAAAUUUGAUCCAUCAAAAUCACUCUUGUCCAGUGUAAAUUUACAGGUGCUAGAAGACAUUUUCAAUUGGAGCCUACCUCCAGCCAUGAUUUCAAUAUGCAACAAGGAUCUCAUGAAUAAAUUAACUUUGGCCAAAAUGCAUUUCAUC